AACGAACGCUGGCGGCAGGCUUAACACAUGCAAGUCGAACGCCCCGCAAGGGGAGUGGCAGACGGGUGAGUAACGCGUGGGAACAUACCCUUUCCUGCGGAAUAGCUCCGGGAAACUGGAAUUAAUACCGCAUACGCCCUACGGGGGAAAGAUUUAUCGGGGAAGGAUUGGCCCGCGUUGGAUUAGCUAGUUGGUGGGGUAAAGGCCUACCAAGGCGACGAUCCAUAGCUGGUCUGAGAGGAUGAUCAGCCACAUUGGGACUGAGACACGGCCCAAACUCCUACGGGAGGCAGCAGUGGGGAAUAUUGGACGAUGGGCGCAAGCCUGAUCCAGCCAUGCCGCGUGAGUGAUGAAGGCCUUAGGGUUGUAAAGCUCUUUCACCGAUGAAGAUAAUGACGGUAGUCGGAGAAGAAGCCCCGGCUAACUUCGUG
rnacentral:rRNA from 1 species